rnacentral:rRNA from 1 species
GACGAAAGCUGGCGGCGUGCUUAAAACAUGCAAGUCGAGCGGAGCGGCGAACGGGUGAUUAACGCGGGAGUAACUGCCCCCCUCUCUGGGAUAACAGAUGGAAACGGCUACUAAUACCGGCUCGUGGGGGAUGACUCGCGGCCUAUCAGCUUGUUGGUGGGGUAGUGGCAUACCAAGGCGACGACGGGUAGCCGGCCUUAUCGGGCGACCGGCAACAUUGGGCUGAGAUACGGACCAAACUCCUACGGGAGGCAGCAGUGGGGAAUAUUGCACAAGGGGGGAAACCCUGAUGCAGCGACGCCGCGUGCGGGAUGACGGCCUUCGGGUUGUAAACCGCUUUCAGCCAUGACGCGGUAGUGGCAGAAGAAGCACCGGCUAACUACGUGCCAGCAGCCGCGGUAAUUC